rnacentral:lncRNA from 1 species
AUCAAUCAAAGCCAAAUGAAACAUAAUGCCAAAAUGGGGCACCGCUCACAUGUACAUCCCGUACUCUUUUUGUGCAAAAACAAAAAUAAUAUAUUGGAAAGACAUUUAUAUGCACAGGGGGUAGAAAUCUCAUUUACACGUGCAUCAUAAGGAAUCAAAGGGCUCAACAAGGUAACAAGUCCCAUAGUGAACACAAACUAAAAGAUCAUGUAUAAGGCCAGAUCUAAACAACCCACAAAUACUAGAAGGGAAGAAACAUUCAAAUUUUCUUGUUCAUAAUAGCUUCAAACUUCAUACCAAACUAAACUCUCUAAGGCAGGCCUGGAAAUGCAUGCAGACGCACACAAGUACAUAGCACAUUCAGUAGAGUGCACUGGCAUGAGCCUCAAACCGUCUACGCUUUAAAGGUGUUUCAGUAUGUAACCAGGGCCACUGUAAAGCUCUCAGAUGAUUUGCAGCAAAAAAACUGGGUCCAGAAGCUGUAGCAAAUGCAAAAGUACAAAUUUGGGCAUUUUCAAUAAAUUCUACAGGUUUAUUAAGCAUUAGUUUUGACUGAAGAAUGUCUUAGCAUGAAACAGACUCCUCUGGAUUAUCACUAAACCUAAAUUAUAAUAUUUAUGAUACUCAUCUGUACAGAUCCAGAGCCUGAACCUGUAUCAUGAAUAUUGGAAAAAGAGCAAAGACAACAAUUAUUAUUAUUUUUGGUGGUUUUAUUAAUAAAAACAGAAAUUCCCUUCAUUCAAAAUUAAGUGAUGGAUGGAAGGAUGAGAGCCAAAAACCUAUGUAUCAGUUCUACCAGGAAACCAAAACAAGAGACAGCAAGAUUACAUGAGAAUUUCUUGGAUGCUAGAGGGAGCUAUGGGACUAAACCAUAUAGAAAUAUUGAUUUACCAACGAUUUUCAUGCAAGAUGGUAUUCCAACACAUGGGACCCAAAAGUUACAAAAUAAGGAUGGUAAUCGUGCAUGCUCAGGAUGGGGCACCCUGUUCUGAUCCCAUCCUCAUGGACAAAACCCCUGCAAAACUUAUCCCAGUUCCAUUCCUUGUCCUGAUCCCACCUUGCAAGAUCAGUAAAGAAAACUUGUUUGGCUGAGUCAGGGGCACCACUGGACUUCAAAUAUAGCAUAUAAGCAUAUAGGGUUUGCAACAUUCUUUACUGAUAAAGAUCUGAUGAGAUCAACUGGUGGUACAAGUACCUACAGAAGAGGGAGCAGACCACAAAAAAUUUCUCCUAUAAAAUAUAAAAUGGAAUUAUUAAAAACAAUGUUGCUCGAGAUAGUGGAAAGUCUUGGAGCUGAGGUUUAGUCUUCGUGAGUAUGAGAAACAAUGUGCCACUUGAAAAACAAGUGACACACCAACUUUUUCACCAGGCAUAAGGAAUCUUAACUCCAAAACCGAACAUAUCCAAAUUGCUAGUUAACAUUGUAGCUAAUCAUUAUAAUCUCAUUGAGUCCACAGCAUAAGAAGAGCAUGAAUUUUGUUGUAAUCAUUGAGAAGCCUCUUUAUCUCCUAUAUCACUUAAGAUGAACAAGCUAUUAAAACCAAGCCAACAUGAACAAUGGAAAAGAACUUCAUCCUAACACACAAGAUGGCAAAACUUGAAAGUACUGAGAAUUCAGAUCUAUGAAAUCCACAAUUUUAGAUUGUCAUAACUAAGAGACAAGUUUUUUACUACUUUCUUUUAUCUGAAAACAAGAAUAAAUGUGAAAAAACAAAUCUCAACUGCGAAAAACCCUAAUUCACUCUGAGGAGACCAACUCAUCAGAGGCAGACUACAACACAUUGCAACCGCAGAGCAAUCUGAUAUUCUUUGAAUCCAAUUCAAUAACAAGAAAGUCAAUGAGGGGGAAAAGAAGAUAAGAAUAAGGAACCAGAUGCAACGAUUAUGGUGUUCAAAAUCACUGAAAAAGAGGCAGAAAAACUGGGGAAAACCUAAGAAAGGUAAGCACACAAGCUUCUGAAAUCAGAGUGUCAAAAGAUUUGGAGAUGUCUUGAGUUCAGCAACAGAAACCCUAAUCUCACUUUCGUAACACCUAACAGAUCAGAAAAACAUUCAUCACAAUCCAAAAUUAACAGUAAUAUCCCACGCUAACCGUCCUUCCCUUACUCAAACAAAAGACCACGGUUAUACACAGAAAGCAUUCAUCGGCUGAGGCCAUAGUUGAAGUAAUUUCCACAGUCGAGACGAAAGGAUUAAAAAUUUUGAACCUGAGAUUUCUCACUCUUCGAGACAAAAUAAAUAUUAUCACUCUACUUUUUGGCAGUUAGUGUAAUGUUUUU